rnacentral:rRNA from 1 species
UGGCGACCAUAGCCGUUUGGAACCACCUGAUCCAUCUCGAACUCAGAAGUGAAACAGACGUACGCCGAUGAUAGUGUGGGGCUUCCCCAUGUGAAAGUAGGUCAUCGCCAGGGCU